GUUCACGAUUAAUGGAUGCAUAUCUGAAUGUCUGCGUGAAGCUUUAUCUGACAAUGUCUAAAACAGACUGUAAAGCCAUCAGCAAAACCGGGCAGCACCAGAAGUCGCAUCAAUGGGAGCUCUUUUUGCCACAAAAAACUGGGACCUGUAAACCAACUAGACUCGACAAGCUCCUUUGUGUUUCUUGCGAGUGACAAACCCUCUCCAAGCAGAUUGUAUGACGAUGGACGCGGCAUUUUGCUUUUUGCCCCUGCAUCGCUGGAGAAAACGUUUCACAACCAUCUGGAUUUUCACAGCAGCCCUGUUUCUCUCCUGUCC